AUACGAGGGGUGCAAGCGUUAAUCGGAAUUACUGGGCGUAAAGCGUUCGUAGGCGGUUUGUUAAGCAAGAUGUGAAAGCCCUGGGCUCAACCUGGGAACUGCAUUUUGAACUGGCAAACUAGAAUACUGUAGAGGGUGGUGGAAUUUCCAGUGUGGCGGUGAAAUGCGUAGAGAUUGGAAGGAACAUCAGUGGCGAAGGCGGCCACCUGGACAGAUAUUGACGCUGAGGAACGAAAGCGUGGGGAGCGAACAGGAUUAGAAACCCUAGUAGUCC
rnacentral:rRNA from 1 species